rnacentral:lncRNA from 1 species
UCCUCUUAAAACUAAAACGGCAGUGAAUGUAAAAUCUCCCCCUUAAAAAUUUGAGUCAACUAAGUUUAACAUACAAAUUAAGUCCGAAUAUAAUUAUUUUGCAUACAUAAAAAUAUUUGGCAUCGAGAAGCUCAUUUGUAGGCCAUUCUAUCAAACUUCAAACACAUACAGCCGUAUGCUAUUAUUGGGAGUUUUUCCAUUAAAAGUUGGAGCCCUGCCCUGCCCCCCUCGGCAAUGGAUGCAUGAAAAUUUCCUCAAGAAGCACUGAAAGUACAACCAACUAUUUGGAAAUGACGAUUAGAGUAAUUGGUAAGGACUAAAUGGUUUCUACUUAACUCCUUCAAGCUAUCUUAUAUACCCCUGCAAGCAGAAAAACGACAUGUGAGUUUAGGAACCAAAUUUUUCUAGGAUGAGAACACACUGAAUUUCAACAAGACAGAAUAUGACGCUGAAGUAAAGAAACAGACGGAGCAAAGUUGAAAAUAUAAGCAUUACAGAAGUCGAUGAAGUAUUCUAAUGUUAACAACUACAAUUGACAAUACAAUAUGAACAGUUCAAUUUUGCCCUCUUUGUCCAACUCUGUCUACUCUCUGGCUUUCAAACACGAAAAAGAGUAAAGAUCAGUGUUAUAUGAUUCCAAGUUUAGCAACAAGUUCCACUACAUCAUCAACAUGAGCCCCGACUCCAUUCAUCAGAAGUAACAUUUGAAUAAUCUUAGUCUUCGUACUCCCACCCUUUACAGUUUCAAUGAGGAAAAGACAUCUAUCAAAAUAACUAAUCUUCCACAAAAAAAAAAGUAUCAUUUGCUUCAAAAUGUUCUCAUUUUGCUGAUUUACAAAGGCAUAGCCUCCUUUAGUCCAGCCAAUUAGGAAGUUCAACAUUCAGCACAUUUAGACAUGUAUGAUCAAACAAUAGUAGAAAAAAGAAAGGACUAACCAUACUCUCUCUGUAUCCGAGUGAAGAAAACGUUUUAGUUCAUACACAAGAUAUGAAAAAUAUCUGGAUGACUGUAGCCCCCUAAUUGCUUAACAGAGGAGAAUGUUCAUCAUCCAAUGGUUGUAGGACACUCAUCAUUCACAAAUAAUUUGCUCAGUAUUUGUGUUCAUCCAUAGUGUCCGGUGCCCCUUCUCUAUUACAUGAUCUAAAAGUAAGAUAUGCCCACUUCCUACUUUGAAGCAAAUUCCCUGAAGAUGGGACGGACUUCAAGCAACUCAACAAACUCGAGCCACAUGAUUCCAAUAACAAAUAACUUAAUACAGGGUUCUAUUCAAAACGAAGCAACAGAGCCAAACACAAUCAGACACAUGGAAUCCCUUUAAUACGUGAAACUUUCGUUUUUUAUCCACAGCAACAAAGAUAUCAAUUAACCAUUUCCUCAACAUAUCAUACGCUAACAUUUCAACUCUCAGUAUCAGUCUUAAAGACAGGUCAUUGUACUCAAACGCUAUAAUUUUCUCAUAUAAUUCAAGCUCAAUAAUUUGUAGCACAAAUCGCAAUUCAAUCAAUUUCCCUUCACCUUCAAAUCAAUGCAAAGAACCAAAACACUAACACAAACAUCACCGUACAUCCCAAACAAUCAACAAAAACAUCCAUUUCAUAUAGAUCACAAUUAGUAACCCGCUUGAUACGAGCAACUAUCAAAGAUAAUCCUAUACAUACAUACACAAAAAUAUAUAUAAGUGAAAUAAAUUAAAGCAGCAAACUUCAAACAAACUUUACCUGACUUUCUGAACGAGAAUCAUCUUGAGCUUGCGGGCAAGAUCCUGCGCGCGAAGCCUGCGCUCCAAAUUCUUUUUGGCCAAAACGCGCUUCUCGGAAUUUUUGACGUGGGCAAGCUGUUCCUGCUUUAUCAUUCGCUCGAUGCCGUUGGACUGCAUCUUCCUCUGCAUUAAGGUCAAAGCCUGAUCUAAAUUGCUGUUGUAAACCUUGACUCGGAUGCCCCUGCACUGUUGCAGGUGAGAACUCAUGGAAAAGAAGGAGGUCCGCCGCAUCGCCGCCGCCUGAAUCAUUGUAUCGGUUGGAAUUUGGGAUUUGAUUUGAGGGUUGUUUGGGGAUGUGGGAUUGGGAUAAAAAAGAAACUGGGCCGCAGGGUUUGGGUGGGCCUCUUGUACAAAAAAUGAGUAAGAACAUUGUGGUCGAAUUUUUAGUUUACGUUAAACACCAAUAUUGUUUCUGGUAGUGUUUUAUUCAUAAUUCUUCUUUUCAUAUAAUAGUAUAUCAUAUACAAUAUUGCUAAAAAAUAAGAUUAAUUAUGCUGUAAUAAGAAAAACUAGAAAUUAAUUAAGGAUUCCAAUUUCGCACAUUUUACACAUAUUUGAUUGGGAGAAAGACAUAUGUAACCAAAAGCAUAUAGUUUAAGACUUAUAUAGCCACCACUUUUAAACCAUGACUUUGGGGGUCAAAAUGCUAGUAAAAGACUAUGCUACCCUUACUAAAUAGUGAAUAAAAAUAAAACAAAAUUGAAAUAGAAAAUUUGUUUGACUUUAAGAUUGAAAAUUAAAAAAAAAAAAAACAGAAAACCCAAAUUAAAUAAAGCAACUAACCUUUUUGAAUUCAGUCACUCUCUCUCUCUUCGAUCACGGUUUCGUCUUCUCCCAGAAAGCAAACGGCCAGAAAUCUCCAACUCUCGCCUGCGGCGCGACUUCACACCUCUCGCCUCUUCGUCCUCUCUGCGACCGACGAGCGCGUCGCGACCUUGACCAGCAGGCGAUCCUCCAGCUGCAGUCCUCCGGCGGCGCGACUUCAUCCAGCGCCACCUUCCUCCAGCGACAUCUGUUCCAUCGACGGCGAUGGCAGCUUCUUCUUCUUCUUCUUCACACCUUAAUUUCCCCCUUGGUCUUUCCAAUGCACUUUCCUCUCUCUCUUUCCCUCUCUCUGCUGCGAAUAACACCAUGGCUGAGCGAGAUAUUGCUCCUGCGCCAUCUACAGAAGCAGAGCACGCUGUCGCCGCAGCCGCCGAAAGACCAUCAACGGCUGUGGCAGACGAACAACAAAUUACAGCAGCAAACACAAGUAGAAUACAAUCGGUAAGUUUUGAACAAGAGGUUUAGGUAAUGACCAAAUGAAGAAAUAUUAAUGGUUCUCUCUACAAAUUUGUCAUUUUUGUGGAUAUAGGUUCGCAUUUGGAAUUGGAUGAUGUUUGUCUUUUGGGUGACUAAUGUUAAUGGUGAAAGCUUGAUUUUUUGGUUCAUUCUUGGUGAUUAUUGAAAAGCUUGACUAAUUUUGAUUAAUUUUGGUGAAAGCUUGACUAAUUUUGAUUCAGGAAUAUUCAAUUAAAAUUAAUUUUUUAUAAUAAUUGAAUUAGUAUUAAUUUUAUAUAAAUAUAAAAAUUAAAAAUAUUUUUCCGUGCAAUUCACGGGAUGCAAAUGCUAGUUAUAUGUAAAUUAAGUAAAAUUCAGUAACACGUUAGACAUUACUCACUCAAACGGGACAUCUUUUAGUAAUUGAUAUGCGUAUAAAUGAAAUUAAUUAUUCAAAAUAAAUGUUUAAACAUUAGAGUCGAUUUAAAUGAGUUAAUAGUGUUCAUAUCCAUUACUCACUCAAACAUACUGGGGAUAUAUUACAUGUAAGUUAAGUGUACUAAGAGUAUAUGUUAGUGUACAUGUUAGUGUACGCGUUUAUUUGUUUUCAUUUAUAUUUGGAAGGCCAAAUGCGUUUAUUCCCCACUAGGCCACUACUAGUUUAUCACAAUUCACGACUAGUUGGAAAUGAGAUUCAGUAUACCACAUUUUAUGUCUUACUUUGUGUCUUAUUUUCAAUUUUAUUUAUGAACUAGUUAAGUUUAAUUAUGAACUAGUAUGAUCAUUUAAAAUUUAUAAAAAAAAGGCGUAAUAAAUAAAUAAAUAAUUAUUUCCAUACAUAAACAUAUAUAAAAAAAUUUAAAAAGAGAGAAAAUAAAAUAUGUAACUUUUGAUAUUUUUUCAAAACUUAUUCAUUUUAAAUUAAUUUUUCGUGAUUUUUACACUAUAUUAAAUUUAAAAUGCAUAUUGCAUUUUUUUAAAUCAAAUCAUGUGAUAAUGUUUAUAAAAGAAUUAACAUAUAGAAAAAAUUAAAAAAUAAUGAAAAAAUUGGUGGAAGAAGAGAGAGAAAAAAGAGAGGAAAAUAACAAAUCUUUAUAUAUAUAAAAAGCAAAGUAAAUGUAAUUUAAUUCAAUUUGAAGGACAUAAUUGGAAUUGAGAAAAUAAUUAUAAUAACAAAAAUCUCCUACAAAACUGGCGUUAGUUAUAUACUCCUACAAAAAUGUCGAAAAUUGUUAACUGACAAAUGAGUAUUAGCAAAAAUAAUUUUAAAUGAUUUGUGCCGAAACAAAAAAUUAAAUGAUCGCCUAUUUCAAAAAAUUGUUAACCCUUGAAUUUAACAUAGGAGAUUAAAAAUCCAAAUUUCCGAUGCCCGAAGUCCUUCAAAUCGGGAAAAUAGUAAGAGUUCUACGGUGCACAAUGACAAUGCACAACUACGUACACAGUGAACCGGUGAAUACACAGUCAACCACAAACGGUGCAUGUUUUAGUAAUUCAUAUGCAAUUAAGUGAAAUUAAGUAUGCAAUUUCAAUUAAUAGACAUUAUAUUCAAUAAAAAUGAGUCAAUAGUGUUCAAUUUCAUUACCCCCUCAAACACAUUGGACAUAUAUCGCAUGAGAGUUAAGUACACUAAGAGUACGUGUUAAAGUGCAUAUAAUAUCAUCGUAGUAAUUGAGACGUGUUUGAUUAAAAACAAGUAUUCGAUUUGAUGUGUUAACCCUUUAAUUUAACAUAGGAGAUUAAAAAUCCAAAUUUUCGAUGCCCGAAGUCCUUCAAAUCGGGACAAUAGCAAGAGUUCUACGGUGCACGGUGACAGUGCACAACUACGUGCACAGUUUAACAACUACGUACACAGUUUGCCCCAAACGGGGCAUGUUUUAGUAAUUCCGAUGCAAUUAAGUGAAAUUAAGUAUGCAAUUUCAAUCAAUAGGCAUUAUAUUCAAUAAAAAUGAGUCAAUAGUGUUCAAUUCCAUUACCCCCUCAAACAUAUUGGGCAUAUAUCGCAUGAGAGUUAANUGUAUCGAAUUUUGGUCGUUUAUUCCCAUUUUCCCACCCAAUAUAUAUAUUUGUAUCGAAUUUUGGUCGUUUAUUCCCAUUUUCCCACCCAAUACGUUUACUUUUUGUCACUUUAUUUAUUUGGAAAAUUCUGUUUCACCAUUUAUAGAAUGUACAUUGAUUUGGUAUUCUUCUGUCGCCAUUUUGGAAGAGUAAGAUCUGAUUUCGCCAACUUCUUCUACCGUCAGAUAUUAUUAUUAUUAUUGCAACUUCCAUCUCGUUAAGUUUAUGUUAUUUCGGAUAUUAUUUCAACGAAACGGUUUGUCACAAAUCCUCUUAAAACUAAAACGGCGGUGAAUGUAAAAUCUCCCCCUUAAAAAUUUGAGUCAAACUAUGUUUAAACAUACAAAUUAAGUCCGAAUAAUUAUUUUGCAUACAUAAAAAUAUUUGGCAUCGAGAAGCUCAUUUGUAGGUCAUUCUAUCAAAUUUCAAACACAUACAGCCGUAUGCUAUUAUUGGGAGUUUUUCCAUUAAAAGUUGGAGCCCUGCCCUGCCCCCCUUGGCAAUGGAUGCAUGGAAAUUUCCUCAAGAAGCACUGAAAAUACAACCAACUAUAUUUGGAAAUGACGAUUAGAGUAAUUGGCAAGGACUAAAUGGUUUCUACUUAACUCCUUCAAGCUAUCUUAUAUACCCCUGCAAGCAGAAAAACGACAUGUCAGUUUAGGAACCAAA